AUUGUAAAUAAAUGACCACAGGCUUCUUUGAGACGCUAACACAGAAAAUUUAUGAUAGACAGAAAACGCAACAGCAGAGGCUGUGACAGAGAGACAUAAAAAUGUAUGGGAGCAGCCAAUUCGAUGGAAGCGCCGCAGCCUUCAUGGGCGGCGGAUUCAUGCCUACUCAAACCGCUCACCCUCCUUCUGAUUCCUCCUCCAUCUCCAAAAAUCGGGAGGCGCGGUGCUUGUUUCCGCUGACUGUGAAGCAGAUAAGCAACCUAGCAAGUAAUGAUGAAUCUAAUUUCACCAUUGAUGGUGCUGAAGUUAACAAUGUUACAAUUGUGGGGAGGGUAUCCCACAAGGAAGACAAGGCCAGCGAGUACACUUUUUUAGUUGAUGAUGGAACUGGACAGAUUGAAUGUACCAAAUGGGUUCAAGAAAGCUUAGAUACAGAACAAAUGGGGGAAAUCUUAGUUGGCAUGUAUGUUCGUGUUCAUGGACAUUUGAGAGGGCUGCAAGGCAGAAGGUUCUUGAAUGUCUUCUCCAUUAGGCCUGUUACUGACUUUAAUGAGAUUCCAGGCCAUUUCAUUGAGUGCAUAUAUGUCCACUUCUACAAUACCAGGUUACAGGGUGUCACUUCUCAGCCCCCGGUAGCAAAUUCAACAAGUAUCCCUUUAAAGGGAUACCAAACUGCCCCUCCAUAUCAAUCUUCUGUGUAUUCCAGUGCUGAUGGACUGAACAAUGUUAGUCAGAUGAUAUUAAAUUUCUUGCAGCAACCUGCAUAUCUGAACACUGAGGGAGCUCACUAUGAUGUCAUUGCCCGCCAGCUAAACAUUCCAAUGAAUAAGCUCAAGGAAGAACUACAGAUGCUGGUUGACAAUGGCCUUGUUUAUACAACAAUCAACGAUGAUUACUAUAAGUCUACUGUUAAUGCCUGAUAUCCUUAUAUGUUUUGCUAAUGGUCAUGCGGCCUUGGCAGUAUUUGGGAUUUGUUUCCCUAAUCAUCCUCAGCAUGGUUGAGAAAAGUAGCACACUUUGUGUAAGGGACAGACAGAACAAGUUUCUGGAAGGUCGCACGUGUGAACCGAUAAGGUUUUUCGAAAUCACGUGCGCUAACAAGACAACAGCCUACCUCCGUAGCCCUGCCUCGGCAACCGAGCUAGUUGUCUUCUAAUUGAGAGAGGGCACGUGCAAGUUGUCUUCUAAUUGAGAAAGGGCACGUGCACUAGCCCUAAAUCUUUGACCAUUCUCAGUUCAGAUUGUUUACAAGCAACUUAUUUAAUAACAGCAAGUUACAGCCUUUGUCUUA